GGUGGUGGUGGUGGUGGAUGACAAGGAGGAGGAAGGGGAGCCGCUGGCGGUGAUAAUUGCCCUGCGUCGAUGCUUACGCAGCGCGGCGCUGUCGGGAUGCAGCAGGCGAAGGUGGUCGUGGUCGAAGGUGUCGUUGAAGCCCUUGGCGCAGAAGGGGCACACGUGUCGCUUGACGCCGCUGUGGCACUUGACGUGGCGGUUGAGCAUGCGCUGCAGGUCGAAGUGCUUGCCGCACACGGGGCACGAGAGGAGGCCCGCCUGGCCGCUCGCCGCGCCGUUCACCUGCCCGGGCACGGAGCGACAAGGCCUAGAGCUGAGUGUCCCAGGCCGGUGGGCACCCGUGCGCCUCCCGUCGAGACAUCAUCGAUACCAGGCUCUGAAUGUCCCGCCACUCCGCGUGGAAAUCCGCGGCGGCCGCUGCCCGCAGCUCGGUGGGCACGGGCAGCGGCGGGGGGCCACGGGGCAACACGCUGCCGUGCGGGUAGGGCCGCGCGGGAAGGGCCGCACGGGUAGGGCCGUGCGGGUAGGGCCGCGCGAGGAAGGGCCGCUGAGAUGCUUCCGCGGACGAAAAGCGGACGGGCGGAGGCAGGAGGGAGAAUCUCCGCAGGGACUCGAACGGACUCGCCGGGUACUGCGGCCGCGUCGGCGGCGCUAGCGGCGGUGGCGGGGCAGGGUCGGUGGGAGACGGGGACCGCGUGCCGAGGGAUGGGUUCCCCAUCGAGGAGCAAGGGGAGGACACCCGCACGGUGAGGUCGAGCGGCAGCUCCUCCGAUGAUUGCGGCAGCUCCUCGAUGCUGCUGCUACCCGACGCUGGGAGGAAGGAGCGAGAACGGGAGAGAGGCGCGCGUGUUGAUCAACCCGAGGGGCAGCGAGGCCACAGGCCGCCCGUUGCCUGUGGGGUCCGAGCUAGAGCUUUGGAGGCGAGGGUUGGUGAAUCCCGUAGGGGAGUGGUGGUGGUUGGUUGCUUGGUGGUGGUGGUGCAAUUGAUUGAUUAUAUAGACUUCCAAAGUGAAGACGGCCAAUUUAUCCGGGAAAUCCAUCGCAAUCCAUUGCUGUAAACGCGAAUGGGCAACAGAUAUUUAAUUCGGACUUCCAUUUUUGUGCUUUUGUUCAAUUAUUGUGUCAGGAAAUAUGACGAACGUAUGAGCCACGACCGAUGACCAUGUAACGGUAUUGAUAAUGAAGGACUCAACUCUUUUGACGGAUCAUAUAUCAAGUGUUGACAUUCAGCCUGAAUAAUCCGGAACGCAGUUCCAAGAAUAAGUUUUGCAAUACCACAUUCAAUUAUCUCGUCUUAUUUCGUCCAUCUAUUUUUUUCACGUGUUCAUUAAAAAAAACACACACACACACAUCGGGUACAAUAAUAUCGGAUUCUUAUUAAGGAUAUCCGUACCUUGGCACUUUAGUGGCAGUGCCUAAUCCCUACUCCAAGUAGUGCCUCAUACACAUAAUCUCCACGAAUCGCAUAUCGGGGGGGGGGGGGGGGGAUUUUGAGUCAGAAAUGAAGCCCUUCUGAUAUCGUGCGACAAUAUCGUAGUAUCGCCAUAUCUCGGCAACCCCAUUAUUGACACGGGAGGUGGGAGGGUGGUGUCACCGACCUGUGGAGGGCGCGCCCUCAUCCGCACACGUCUCAGGAGAGGAGUCUUGCCAGUCGCGACACCACCUGCUGACCCAGCGCUUCUUCAUCAUGAAGGAGCGAGGCAUGAUGAUGCUGCUGCCGAUGAUGAUGAUAAUGCUGGUGAUGUUGCUGCUGAUAGUAAUGAUCUUGAUGGUGGAGGUGGUGGUAGUAGUCGUCGUAAUGAUAAUGCGUAUUGCGGUUGUGAGGCUGACGAUGUUGGUGUUGAUGGUGGCGUUUGUCGACGGCGUUGUUCCUUUGGUGGUGUGAGUGGUAUGUACUUAUGUUGAACUUCUGUCGCACCGUACGUAGCGGUGCUGAUGAUGGUGGUGGUGGUGGUGUUGCUGGUAGUGUUUUUAAAAUGUCCUCAGCUCUUUGGUCAGUGCAAUGACCACCAAGAUAGUCUCCUUCUGCUGCUGAUGCUGUUAAUGUUUAUGCUGCGUAUUACUCUUUGGUUCUUUCGGCAAAGUAUUCUUCUUCUUUUUCUUCUGAUGAUGAUGAUGAUCACGAUGUUCCUGCCACUGCUACUGCUGCUGAUGAUGAUUCUUUCCACAAGCAGAAGAGCGACUCGCAUCCACGUGGGCCUCGGGCGUACGGAACUUGGGUACGCGUCUCCGUCCGUCCGUUCACGCGCACGGAGGCACGCGCACGGAGGCACUAGUACGGACGCGCGCAACGCAAAACAAGCGACCCACACCCCAGCGGUCGAUUGCCAGUUGUGAAACUCGUCGCGAGCGAUCUCAGGCGAGGAGACGAAGAGAGGCGCGGCCGGCCCAACCUCGAAGACCAAGACCGGGCCACCCCGGCGAACGAGAAAGACGGGAUGGCACGACGCUUGGAGAUCAUACGACAUGGUUCCCCGACAUAACGGUGCCAAUGCGAUUGCCAAAGGGUGGCCACGCCACUACCGGUUACACCGGUUCAUCAUAUUGGUUCGUUGCAUCGCCCGGAGCGAUUGCACACACACACACGCACACAACUACAACGCAUAACUUGACAGAACAGGUAUAAAGUGUUGUUAUUUACAUUUUUGUAUUCCUUCUCCCUGAAGUUCGCCGCUCAUUAUGCAUGCGCAAUCCUGAACGUCUACGUGUAACGAUCACUCACGCGCGCACUGGAUAUUGUUAGGAUAAAGUGUCGUCGUCUCAAGGCAAAACACAUUACAUUCAUUUGUUCUGAGUCACGAGUGGCCAAAAUAGGAGAACGUGUUUACGCGAAUUAUGAGGUCCACUCCGGCUCCGUUCUUGCCCCAAUAAUGUGAAUGCUUCCAUUAAAAAAGGUGCUUUCAGAUUGCUUGGCUGCUAUACAUUUCCACGUGAUAAGCCACUUCGUUGAGCUAUCAUUUUAGCCAGGUCGCUUCUGAAAAAGAGCUUUCUUCUUUUUUUGUCUCCUGAUUGCUUGUGUUGCGAUCGAAACGUCGUAGUUUUUGUAAAAAAAAAAAUGGUCUACGUGACUUUACCGAAAGACCCAAAGAAUAAGAGCUAUACAGCUUAGCGGGCAUAUUAGUUGUAUCUAUAUUAGUUGUAUGUUUUUAUGUUGAACUUCUUUCGCAUUGUAUGUAGCCAACCGUGUUAAUCGGAGGUCCGGGGGACGGACAACAAACUAAACAUAAAAAAGCCGUUCCAAAGGAAUUCGUUUUCAACCUAGUUAGUAAUUAGUUGUUCGGGUCCGUAUUUUUUUAAGCCACCUUAUGAGCAGAGCACCCGAAGUGAGCCCUAUCUCUGUCACAUCCCACAAACUCGACAGGCGUGAGCCUGCGCAGACCUUGUAAGGUCGACGUGUUGCCAGCGGGCUGCAGAACCGACGUGGUGGGACAUCAGGAUGCAGUGCAGCCAAUUCGAUUGUUGUAUUGUACUUCAAUGCUUCCAGGCAAGACUGUUCCUGGGGGGGGGGGUGCGGGUUCCCGGGGCAAAUCCCACUGUGCCCCCCCCCCCCACCCUACAACGCAUUCAAACUAAAUCGGAAGUAUGACAUCUGACACCGUGACGUCGAAGCUCGGAGGCUCCCCCAAAGCACAGGGCCCGGGACGGUCGCUCCGAUUCGCCGUACCCGAGGGACACCUCUGCUCCCAAGUCCUUCUUCACCAACUCGCAUUGACCAGAGCGGGUGACAGCCGUACGGUAAAAUAACCCUCCCCCCCCAUCCCUCCCCCACCAUGCAUCGCAUAGCUUGGAAAUGCGCUCAUCCAACAGUAUGGGUUCACAAAACGUGUGCGCACGUAAUAUGCUUGUUUUGCAUAUGAUUUUACAGAGGUGUAUUCUUCGAGAAGAGGCGUGGGCUUCUGGGAUUUUUACGGCAUGCUUUUGGCCGAGGCGGGUAAACGUCAGGACGGGGAAGAUGGGGAAUCGGAUGCGUGGUGGAUUCCACGGAGCCAUUCAGCCCAAAACUUAGGAUUUUGUUGGAUAUCGAGUGUGCCAAAUGAGACGUAUUUGAGGAAUUGGUGUCUUUUUUUUCUAUCCGGCCAGGUGGCUCAGCGGUAGAAGGAGGGAGGUUUCGAGUUCAAAUCUCGAUCGGGGUGGGGUGGGGUGACUCAUCCCAUCAUCCCUCAGGGGUCGAAAUAAAACACGCCACUUUGUGGCGAUGUGGAAUUACCACCACUGGCUCAGGGCUGUAAAACAGGAGGCGAGCUGCAAUGUCUCAUAACUCAUUUGAGUUGUUUGCUCGCUUUUGAGUUGCAUGGUCAUUAACGUUUGCUGCUGGUUCCGUUUCUCACGACAGUGAUCACGUCGUUUCAGAGUCAGCAUCAGCGCGAUGCGACCGCGAUUACCGCAUUCUCCGUAUAAUAAGACGCAACUUGUUAUUGUAUUGUGUUUUAAAUCAAUAAAAUGGGGUGGGAGGAGGA